rnacentral:lncRNA from 1 species
AUGGAACCUCACUGCCCUGCCCACUGUUUGCAUCAUAAGGGCUGGAAACCCUGCUGUGGCAUCUCCUGGAGGCUGCAGGCACAGAUAUGUCCAUGCUUCUGCCAUCGUAAAACAUCACUCAGUUUUCAGACAUCACCUGUGCCUCCAAGGACUGAGAUGGGACAGAAGGAUGUUGUGGACUCCACUUCUGCAAAGCUCAAGAAAGAACUGGAGUGGCAGGUGGAGGAGAUUUCUGAAUUCCAUGAAUAUAAACUUCAUAGGCAUCAGCAGGUUCCUUGUUUGGAGGACAUAAGACAUUUGAAGGUAUGUUUGCAAAAGCUGAUGAAAGGGAUAGAAGAAAAGGAAAGGGACAUUAUAAAGGAAAAAAGAGAAAUAUUGGAAGAAAGAGAACUAGUCUUACAACAGGACAACAUCUUAAAGGACAUGCAGAUAAAAAUAAGCCACUUAGUAGAACAGCUCAAGAACUCUGAACUAAUUGGGUUAAAACUUUCAAAGCAAUUGCGGAAUCAGAUAGAAGCCUUGGGAGCAGGAAGCAGCCAACAAGAAGAGAAGGUGGACAACUGCACAAGCUCUCCCACUCAGAAGACAACCAUGGUGAAACAGACCCAGACAUCAAUGACUGGCUACCUAAAAAAAUUAUCUUCAUGUCUUAGGCAAUUACUACUGAACAAUCAUCAACCACUGGAUAUGGACAUGUAAGGAUGCGCUGACUAUGACCUGUGCAGAGAUUCAGGCUACACCUAGACUGAGUGGUCAGUACUUCCCAUAGCAGACCUCGGGAUCUCAGUUACCUCA